UACGAAGGGGGGCUAGCGUUGUUCGGAAUUACUGGGCGUAAAGCGCACGUAGGCGGAUCUUUAAGUCAGGGGUGAAAUCCCAAGGCUCAACCUUGGAACUGCCUUUGAUACUGGGGAUCUCGAGUCCGGAAGAGGUGAGUGGAACUGCGAGUGUAGAGGUGAAAUUCGUAGAUAUUCGCAAGAACACCAGUGGCGAAGGCGGCUCACUGGUCCGGUACUGACGCUGAGGUGCGAAAGCGUGGGGAGCAAACAGG
rnacentral:rRNA from 1 species